GGAAUACCAAUAUAUUCCUUGAGUCUAGAGAUUUUGUUUAGUGCAGCAAUGCCUAUAGUGCAUCCUUACAAGCUUAAGUGCUGCUGAACUACACAGUUUAAAAAAUACCAACUAUAGUCUGCGGCACUGACAUGAAUAUUUGUAUUAAAUUUAUUCCACCAUACCUAUGGCUCUAGUUAUUGGUGAACACAAAGCUUUUUUUAUUUUCAUACUGGUAUGUAUUUUUUUUUUCACUUAUACUUUUACAUUAUUAAUCCCCAACCCCACAACCUUUUUAUUUUAGAAGUUUCAACUUGUCGCAUCAUAGGAUGAAAUAUUAUUAUAUAAUAACACGCUUCAUUUUACCAUGACAAAAUGUUCUCGUUAAAUAUACUUUCAUUUCAAUUUACAAUAAACUGAUACAGAU
rnacentral:misc_RNA from 1 species